GUUUCUGUAGUGUAGUGGUUAUCACGUUCGCAUUACACAGGAAAGUUCCUCGGUUUGAAUCCAGGCGGAAACA
rnacentral:tRNA from 1 species